rnacentral:rRNA from 1 species
AGAGUUUGAUCCUGGCUCAGAAUGAACGCUGGCGGCGUGCCUAACACAUGCAAGUCGAGCGAGAAAACCCGAAAGGGUGAGUAAAGCGGCGAACGGGUGUAGAACGCGUGGGAAUCUGCCCUUUAGUGGAGAAUACCUUGGAGAAAUCCAAGCUAAUACUGCAUAAGCCCGGAAACGGGGAAAGAUGGCCUCAAAGCUAUCGCUGAAGGAUGAGCCUGCGUACUAUUAGCUAGUUGGUAGGGUAAAGGCCUACCAAGGCAAAGAUGGUUAGCCGGCCUGAGAGGGUGUACGGCCACAUUGGGACUGAGAUACGGCCCAGACUCCUACGGGAGGCAGCAGUGGGGAAUAUUGCGCAAUGGGCGAAAGCCUGACGCAGCGACGCCGCGUGGAGGAUGAAUGUCUUCGGAUUGUAAACUCCUGUUGAGUGGGAAAAAAUGGCAAUACCUAAUACGUAUUGCAGAUGAUGGUACCACUAGAGAAAGCACCGGCAAACUUCGUGCCAGCAGCCGCGGUAAUACGAAGGGUGCAAGCGUUAUUCGGAGUUACUGGGCGUAAAGAGCGUGUAGGCGGUCUGCUAAGUCAGUUGUUAAAGACCUUGGCUUAACUGAGGAAAUGCAGUUGAAACUGGCGGACUAGAGUGUAAGAGAGAGAGAUGGAAUUCUCGGAGUAGCGGUAAAAUGCGUAGAUCUCGAGAGGAACACCGGUAGCGAAGGCGGUCUCUUGGCUUAUAACUGACGCUAAAGCGCGAAAGCGUGGGGAGCAAACAGGAUUAGAUACCCUGGUAGUCC